rnacentral:rRNA from 1 species
GUCGAGGGGCAGCGAGUAGAUUGCUUGCAAUCUACGUCGGCGACCGGCGCACGGGUGCGUAACGCGUAUGCAACCUACCCAUUACAGGGGGAUAACACUGAGAAAUCGGUACUAAUACCCCAUAACAUCCAGGGAGGCAUCUUCUUGGGUUGAAAACUCCGGUGGUAAUGGAUGGGCAUGCGUUGUAUUAGUUAGUUGGUGGGGUAACGGCUCACCAAGACAACGAUACAUAGGGGGACUGAGAGGUUAACCCCCCACAUUGGUACUGAGACACGGACCAAACUCCUACGGGAGGCAGCAGUGAGGAAUAUUGGUCAAUGGACGCAAGUCUGAACCAGCCAUGCCGCGUGCAGGAAGACGGCUCUAUGAGUUGUAAACUGCUUUUGUACGAGGGUAAACGCAGAUACGUGUAUCUGUCUGAAAGUAUCGUACGAAUAAGGAUCGGCUAACUCCGUGCCAGCAGCCGCGGUAAUACGGAGGAUUCAAGCGUUAUCCGGAUUUAUUGGGUUUAAAGGGUGCGUAGGCGGUCGGAUAAGUUAGAGGUGAAAUCCCGAGGCUCAACUUCGGAAUUGCCUCUGAUACUGUUCGGCUAGAGAGUAGUUGCGGUAGGCGGAAUGUAUGGUGUAGCGGUGAAAUGCUUAGAGAUCAUACAGAACACCGAUUGCGAAGGCAGCUUGCCAAGCUACUUCUGACGUUGAGGCACGAAAGCGUGGGGAGCAAACAGGAUUAGAUACCCUGGUAGUCCACGCAGUAAACGAUGAUAACUCGUUGUCGGCGA